ACGAACGCUGGCGGCGUGCUUAACACAUGCAAGUCGAACGGAAAGGCCCUGCUUUUGUGGGGUGCUCGAGUGGCGAACGGGUGAGUAACACGUGAGUAACCUGCCCUUGACUUUGGGAUAACUUCAGGAAACUGGGGCUAAUACCGGAUAGGAGCUCCUGCUGCAUGGUGGGGGUUGGAAAGUUUCGGCGGUUGGGGAUGGACUCGCGGCUUAUCAGCUUGUUGGUGGGGUAGUGGCUUACCAAGGCUUUGACGGGUAGCCGGCCUGAGAGGGUGACCGGCCACAUUGGGACUGAGAUACGGCCCAGACUCCUACGGGAGGCAGCAGUGGGGAAUAUUGCACAAUGGGCGGAAGCCUGAUGCAGCAACGCCGCGUGCGGGAUGACGGCCUUCGAGUUGUAAACCGCUUUCGCCUGUGACGAAGCGUGAGUGACGGUAGUGGGUAAAGAAGCACCGGCUAACUACGUG
rnacentral:rRNA from 1 species